rnacentral:rRNA from 1 species
UACGUAGGUGGCAAGCGUUGUCCGGAAUUACUGGGCGUAAAGGGCGUGUAGGCGGCUAUUUAAGUCAGACGUGAAAACCCUGGGCUUAACCCAGGAUCUGCGUUUGAAACUAGGUGGCUUGAGGACCGGAGAGGGCAGUGGAAUUCCCAGUGUAGCGGUGAAAUGCGUAGAUAUUGGGAGGAACACCAGUGGCGAAGGCGACUGCCUGGACGGCACCUGACGCUGAGGCGCGAAAGCUAGGGGAG